CGACAAAUCACUCACCGUUACCCCUUCCCCACCACGGGCGCUCUUGGGGAGAGGGGUGACUUGGAGAGGACGCCACUGUACCCUAAGGUGCCGUGCAUGCAUUAAGUCACUGACUCCUCCCAACAGCCCUACGGGCAGGUCCUCUUCAAGGAGUGAAGCACAAUAAAACGAGAUCUGCCUGUAUUAACUACUAUUUCGGAAUGUCCUAUAAAUGGAACCAUACAGACUUUUGAGACUGGCUCCUUUCACUUGGCAGAAUGCACUUGGGAUUCAUUCUUCUGCUGCUGCACGCAUCUGUCACGUGUCCCUUUCAUGGGCUUUUGAAACUGCUGGUCCUCGAGUCAUGUUGUGGAAUCAUCGAAAACCUCACCUGCAAGGGAUCAUGGACCUCAAGACCCUCAUUCUUUAGGUCAGAGAAGUAACCCUCCUGCUUAACGACAUGACCGGAGCCAUUAGUGAAGGAACCGGGAAUAUAACUCUGCAAACUGGACUCCCAACCCUCUCCCAUUAAGCCAGCCUAUAUCAAUUUCUUGGAUUUUCUUUCAUUUGCGUUUUUGUUAUGGGAAAACUUAAACACACACAAAAGUAGAGCGAGUAAUAUAAGGAAUACCAAUGUACCCAUCACUCCAUUGCCACACCCAUCCGCGUUCUGACAGUCUUGUUUUAUCUCUUCCCCCACCUGGCCCCUUUGCAGCCAUACAGACUUCACACCAUUUUAUCUGUUACUACGGUAAUAUGUUUCUCUAACAGAAAGCUUUUAAAAAGAAUGUAACCACAGUACCAUUAUCCCACUCACAUAAUUAACAAUGUUUCUUAGUAUCAUAAUACAUAGCCCAUACUCAAUUUUCUCCAAUUGUGUGGAAAAAGUCUUUUUGUAGCUUGUUUACAUCAGCAUUUCAAGCAAGAUCCACACGUUGCAUUUGUUGAUUUUCUUUUUUUAAAAGGGCUUUUAAAUGAUAAGAGUCCCUCCUCCCAUUCAUCUCCCAUGCCAUAUGUUUGUGGGAAAAUCUGGGUCAUCUGUCCUUUAGAAUUUCCCAUAUUCUGGAUUUAGCUGAUUGUGUCCUGCUGGUAUCUUUUAACAUUUCUGCAUCCCAUUUCCUGUAAAUUGAUACUUAGCUGUAGAGCAGUGGUUUACAGCUGGGGAAAUUCAUGCCCCGCUCCCACCCCCACCCAGUCCCUCUCAGGGCUUGAUCAUAUGUGGCGACUUUUUCUUUUUUAAAUUCUUACGAGAGAGAAACAUUGAUGUUAGAAACAUCAGCUGAUUGCACCCCGUGCCCCCACCUCUGGGAACCCGUGCUCUCUCUGACCAAGGAUCGAACCCGUAAUGUUCUGGGGCACCAGGUGAUGCUCCAACCAACCGCGCCGCCUGGCCAGGCUUCGAGACAUUUUUAAUGGCCACAACUAGGUGACCAUUAAAACUUAAAAUUUAAAGCGUUACAUAAUUCUCCUAGACUUGUUGAUCUAGCAGUUCCCUUGUUCCUCCCAUUUUUUGUUCUUAAGAGGCAACCAUUUUCAGCUUUUCAGCUGGUUCUUUUAAUAUUUAUCUUUGUAUAUCCUAACAAUGGGCUUAAAUUGCUACUUUUCAGCAAUUAAGUUUUGGGCAUUUUCUAAUGACUUCUCUUUCCAGAAUGUGACAAUCUCUCUAUUUUUCCAAUAAUGGCCCCCAGCCCCCUGCUCAAACACUUUUUCUAUCCCUUUAUGUUCUCAGAAUAAAUGCUAAUUUUCGUUGUCUGCUCAUGUUUAAGAGUAGGACAUUAAAAAGCCCUUUAGAAGCUCUGACCUCGCCGGCAGGGCUUGCUGACUGCAGCGUCCCUGCGGGGUUCCAUCUGGCUACGCUCUUCCUUUAGGGACCCCCCAGCGUCCGAGUGUUUAAGUCUUCCUCCUCAGUCGGAUAAAACUGCAGCGGAGUUUUCCAGUGUUAUGCCUGGAGGGUUAGGGGUCCGGGAGCCCAGUGGGGCUGGAAGGCUUUGAGUCUGAGCAUUGAGUAUGUGGACUUUCCUUUUUUGUUAUAAUUCUCCUGGCGUCAACUGUGCCUGCUCUCCUCCAGCCACAGACCCUCUGUGGCUCCCUCCAGAGAAUAAGCCCAUCUCAUGGCAGGAAUAUGAGAGGACAGUUGCCCAGUUGUACAGAGUUGGGAAAGGAACCUAUGGAUCUAACCGUUAUUUUUGAAACAGCUUUCGUUAGGUACAAUUGACAUAAAAUAAGCAGCCUGUUUACAAUGUCCAAUUGGUAAGUUUUGACGGAUGUACAUAUCUGCAACAUCAGCACCAGCACAGGCAAGAGAGUG